UUUUGCCUGUAGGACCAGAAUGUGCUGAAGAAUAAAUCGGGAUUAUCGUUACCUAUUUAGGCUGGAUUACUGUUACCUAUUCAGCCAUAGUGGUUGAAGUAAUUUACUGAAGAUUGCUACAAUCCCACCAUAUCAUUGAGACAGUAGUGAUCGCGUGCUUCAAAGAAAUCCUGAACAGAAGGAUGCAAGCAAAGAAGUCUAGUAGGUGCCAUAGUAAACACCGUAGACGGGAAGACUGGAGCUCCAUGAUGGCUUUUAGCUCAAUUACUUGCCGUAGAACUUUGGCGGCGACUUCGGGGACACACUACAAGAGAUCUUAUGAUAGAUGACGUUUCAUUUACGUCACAAACAUUGAACUUUUCGUCAUGUUCCGUAAUUUGGGACGCUCGCGUGAUGAAAAUUCAUUCGUCACCUAUCAUGCGUCUCUAAUGGUGUUGUAUGACGAAACCUUAUUUUUCGGCAUUAAUCCAGUGACGAUCAUUCUAUCGUCAUAACUU